UUGUAAACCUGGGAGGGGAGACACCACGAUUAUGAAGGUGGUUUUCCCAGGGCAAGGCUGAUUCAUUGCACUCCGGAUGUGCUGGCCCCCGUGAUUUCCCCAAAUGUAGGAAACUAGACUAUAUAAUUUGUGGUAGUGGGGGCAUUCGUGCUUUCCCCUA
ensembl:snRNA U1 U1 spliceosomal RNA